rnacentral:rRNA from 1 species
UACGUAGGGUGCAAGCGUUGUCCGGAAUUAUUGGGCGUAAAGAGCUCGUAGGCGGUCUGUCGCGUCGGCUGUGAAAUCCCGAGGCUCAACCUCGGGUCUGCAGUCGAUACGGGCAAACUAGAGUUCGGUAGGGGAGACUGGAAUUCCUGGUGUAGCGGUGAAAUGCGCAGAUAUCAGGAGGAACACCGGUGGCGAAGGCGGGUCUCUGGGCCGUAACUGACGCUGAGGAGCGAAAGCAUGGGUAGCGAACAGG